rnacentral:rRNA from 1 species
CCUACGGGAGGCAGCAGUGGGGAAUAUUGCACAAUGGGCGCAAGCCUGAUGCAGCGACGCCGCGUGGGGGAUGACGGCCUUCGGGUUGUAAACUCCUUUCGCUAGGGACGAAGCUUUUUGUGACGGUACCUAGAUAAGAAGCACCGGCUAACUACGUGCCAGCAGCCGCGGUAAUA